rnacentral:rRNA from 1 species
AAAAGUAAGUAAGGGCACAUGGCGGAUGCCUUGGCUCUCGGAGGCGAUGAAGGACGUGAUAAGCUGCGAUAAGCUGCGGGUAGGUGCAAAUGACCUUUGAUCCGCGGAUUUCCGAAUGGGACAACCCGAUACUUUGAAGAAGUAUCAUCCUGCAUUGCAGGAGGCUAACGCAGGGAACUGAAACAUCUUAGUACCUGCAGGAAAAGAAAAUAAACAAUGAUUCCCCCAGUAGUGGCGAGCGAACGGGGAACAGCCCAAACCAUCCAUGUUACGGCAUGGGUGGGGUUGUAGGACUACGCCGUUGCAUGAAGACAUCAGAGAAGAACUUUCUGGAAAGAAAGACCAUAGAGCAUGACAGUUGCGUAUUCGAAUGUUGUCGAAGCAUAGUAGUAUCCUGAGUAGCGCGGAGCACGAGGAAUUCUGCGUGAAUCUGCCGGGACCAUCCGGUAAGGCUAAAUACUCCCGAGAGACCGAUAGCGAACCAGUACCGUGAGGGAAAGGUGAAAAGCACUUCGAACAGAAGAGUGAAAUAGUUCCUGAAACCGUGCGCCUACAAGCGGUCGGAGCUCGUUAAUGAGUGACGGCGUGCCUUUUGCAUAAUGAACCUACGAGUUGCCUUUGCCGGCAAGGUUAAGUGUGACGACACACGUAUCCGAAGCGAAAGCGAGUCUGAACAGGGCGUAUAGUCGGCAGUGGCAGACGCGAAACCAAGUGAUCUACCCUUGGCCAGGUUGAAGGCUGGGUAACACCAGCUGGAGGACCGCACCAAUAAGCGUUGAAAAGCUUCUGGAUGAGCUGAGGGUAGGGGUGAAAGGCUAAUCAAACUUGGAGAUAGCUCGUACUCCCCGAAAUGCAUUUAGGUGCAGCCUUGCGGGUUACUGAUGUGAGGUAGAGCGACUGAUAAGAUGCGAGGGCUUCACCGCCUAUCAAGUCUUGACAAACUCCGAAUGCGCAUCAGUUCUACCGCAGGAGUGAGGGCAUGGGUGCUAAGGUCCGUGCCCGAGAGGAGAAGAAUCCGGACCACCUGCUAAGGUCCCGAAAUGACAGCUAAGUUAAACUAACGAAGUCUGACUGCUAAGACAGCUAGGAUGUUGGCUUGGAAGCAGCCAUUCAUUUAAAGAGUGCGUAACAGCUCACUAGUCGAGGAGUCGGGCGUGGAUAAUAAUCGGGUAUCAAGUUGUCUACCGAAGCAGUGGGAUCAUUUAUAUGAUCGGUAGGGGAGCAUUCCAGUCAGCGUCGAAGGCGUACCGUGAGGUAUUCUGGAGCGUCUGGAAAAGCAAAUGUAGGUAUAAGUAACGAUAAAGGGGGCGGGAAACCCCCUCGCCGAAAGACUAAGGUUUCCUGAUCAACGCUAAUCGGAUCAGGGUCAGUCGGGUCCUAAGGCUCAGCCGAACGGCGAUGCCGAUGGCAGAAACGGUUAAUAUUCCGUUACUACCUUCAGGAGUGACGUGGAGACGCAGUAGUGACAGUGCCGCCAUCUGACGGAAUAGAUGGUUGAAGGGUGUAGGAGUCGAUCAUGGCAGGCAAAUCCACCAUGAGAUCCGAACCUGAUAGUAUGCCGCGUCCUUCGGGACAAGGCAAUAGUGCGCGUAAGCAUGCUGCCGAGAAAAUCCGCUAAACUUAAUCCUGUAGGUACCCGUACCGCAAACGGACACACGUAGUCGGGAUGAAUAUUCUAAGGCGCUUGAGUGAUUCACGGUUAAGGAACUAGGCAAACUGACCCUGUAACUUCGGGAUAAAGGGUCCCUACCCUUUUAUGGGAGGGCGCAGAGAAUCGGUCCAGGCAACUGUUUAACAAAAACACAGGGCUGUGCCAAAUCGAAAGAUCCAGUAUACAGCCUGACACCUGCCCGGUGCUGGAAGGUUAAGAGGAGAUGUCAUCGAUAAGAGAAGCGUUGAAUUGAAGCCCCAGUAAACGGCGGCCGUAACUAUAACGGUCCUAAGGUAGCGAAAUUCCUUGUCGGGUAAGUUCCGACCUGCACGAAUGGUGUAAUGAUCUGGACGCUGUCUCAACCGUGAGCUCAGUGAAAUUGUAGUAUCGGUGAAGAUGCCGAUUACCCGCGAUGGGACGAAAAGACCCCGUGAACCUUUACUAUAGCUUAACAUUGAAUUUGGGUAAUUGAUGUGUAGG